GGCUACUUGGCGCAAUGGUAGCGCAUCGUGUUUCUACUUUAUGCCGCGAGGGUUGCGGGUUCGAGUCCCGUGGUGGCCU
rnacentral:tRNA from 1 species